rnacentral:rRNA from 1 species
GACGAACGCUGGCGGCGUGCUUAACACAUGCAAGUCGAACGGAAAGGCCCUGCUUUUGUGGGGUGCUCGAGUGGCGAACGGGUGAGUAACACGUGAGUAACCUGCCCUUGACUUUGGGAUAACUCCAGGAAACUGGGGCUAAUACCGGAUAGGAGCUCCUGCUGCAUGGUGGGGGUUGGAAAGUUUCGGCGGUUGGGGAUGGACUCGCGGCUUAUCAGCUUGUUGGUGGGGUAGUGGCUUACCAAGGCUUUGACGGGUAGCCGGCCUGAGAGGGUGACCGGCCACAUUGGGACUGAGAUACGGCCCAGACUCCUACGGGAGGCAGCAGUGGGGAAUAUUGCACAAUGGGCGGAAGCCUGAUGCAGCAACGCCGCGUGCGGGAUGACGGCCUUCGGGUUGUAAACCGCUUUCGCCUGUGACGAAGCGUGAGUGACGGUAAUGGGUAAAGAAGCACCGGCUAACUACGUGCCAGCAGCCGCGGUGAUACGUAGGGUGCGAGCGUUGUCCGGAUUUAUUGGGCAUAAAGGGCUCGUAGGUGGUUGAUCGCGUCGGAAGUGUAAUCUUGGGGCUUAACCCUGAGCGUGCUUUCGAUACGGGUUGACUUGAGGAAGGUAGGGGAGAAUGGAAUUCCUGGUGGAGCGGUGGAAUGCGCAGAUAUCAGGAGGAACACCAGUGGCGAAGGCGGUUCUCUGGGCCUUUCCUGACGCUGAGGAGCGAAAGCGUGGGGAGCGAACAGGCUUAGAUACCCUGGUAGUCCACGCUGUAAACGGUGGGUACUAGGUGUGGGGUCCAUUCCACGGGUUCCGUGCCGUAGCUAACGCUUUAAGUACCCCGCCUGGGGAGUACGGCCGCAAGGCUAAAACUCAAAGGAAUUGACGGGGCCCCGCACAAGCGGCGGAGCAUGCGGAUUAAUUCGAUGCAACGCGUAGAACCUUACCUGGGUUUGACAUGGAUCGGGAGUGCUCAGAGAUGGGUGUGCCUCUUUUGGGGUCGGUUCACAGGUGGUGCAUGGCUGUCGUCAGCUCGUGUCGUGAGAUGUUGGGUUAAGUCCCGCAACGAGCGCAACCCUUGUUCACUGUUGCCAGCACGUUAUGGUGGGGACUCAGUGGAGACCGCCGGGGUCAACUCGGAGGAAGGUGGGGAUGACGUCAAGUCAUCAUGCCCCUUAUGUCCAGGGCUUCACGCAUGCUACAAUGGCUGGUACAGAGAGUGGCGAGCCUGUGAGGGUGAGCGAAUCUCGGAAAGCCGGUCUCAGUUCGGAUUGGGGUCUGCAACUCGACCUCAUGAAGUCGGAGUCGCUAGUAAUCGCAGAUCAGCAACGCUGCGGUGAAUACGUUCCCGGGGCU